UACAGAGGUCUCAAGCGUUGUUCGGAUUCAUUGGGCGUAAAGGGUGCGUAGGUGGCGGGGUAAGUCAGGUGUGAAAUCUCGAGGCUCAACCUCGAAACUGCACUUGAUACUGCCUUGCUCGAGUACUGGAGAGGAGAUUGGAAUUUACGGUGUAGCAGUGAAAUGCGUAGAUAUCGUAAGGAAGACCAGUGGCGAAGCGAAUCUCUGGACAGUUACUGACACUGAGGCACGAAGGCCAGGGGAGCAAACGGG
rnacentral:rRNA from 1 species